UGCACUGAGGGACGUGGGCAGUGGGCAUGGUGGGAGUGGGUUGACUGUUGGAGAUCUUAGUAGUCUUUUCACCCUUAAUGAUUCUGAGAAUUUACAAUUCAGUGAUAAGUUAGAUGGUAGUGUAGUUAUUCACAUGACUAAACAGCACAUCGUGUGCUGUUUAGGGGAGGAACAGUUGUAUGUCAGCAGACUGAAGAGAUGUUUUGAAGAGUGUGAAGCUCUUCAAACUCUUGAAGAGCCUAAAGCUAAGCAGCAGCCAAGAGCCAUUCUUCCAGCCCCACACUGUGCAGACCUGGGAGAAAGGAGGAAGUGGUCCUCAGCCUAAAGAAUUUAAACUCUCAGAAAAGUGGUGAUGAAAUAGAAGUCAUGCUAAUUUCAAGUGUUAAUGAAGCAGAAUCCAUCCUGAUGUGAAGUGGCACAAGAUAUGAGUGUGGACAUUGGAGGUAAUUCUCUCCUGGAGCCUCACUCCAUGAGCACUCGCUCCACGAAAAGCUGCUUUGGUUUCAGAGGGAGUGAAGCUGAUCCGGAGGUGUUGACAGAUUUGUGGCAGUGCUGCCUGGGCCCUGCAGGAUGCAGCUCUAGCUACCCGAGGAUCCUCUGUGACACAGCCACAAUGGGACCAGACUUUAUGGUCUAUUGUGUUAACAAUCUGUGAAUUAAAGCAUCCCCCAGCAAGCUCUUAAUGUGAUGGAUUGUAUCAGUGAUGUGCCGUUAAAGGGUCCCCAGUCAAACUGGACACGACAGGCCAGAGUGGUUUGGAAGGCCUGGCAGCUCCAUCAGAUUUUAGGGCCGUGCCUGGUGCAUGGGAUAAACCUGAUAGGAGAUCACGGGGAGCUUCAGAGGAGGCUGAGGAUGCUCAUCACAUUGCCAGGGAUGAGCCCAAGAGACCAUAAUGCUCAGAAUCCUCUUGACGAAGAAAAGCAGAAGUCUCAGCAUUAAAAAUAGAUGCUUUUUAUCUUGCAUAGGAUACAAAAUCUCUUGUGAUAGGACAUUUUUUUUAUUAUAUUUUAGCAGCUCCAAGCAGUCUUGGAUUAGGCCUAUAUCACAACAGUAAUACACAGGAGGCAAUGUUUUGUCUUGCUAUGACACCAGCUACUAUUGUUUUUGAUCUGCAGCCUCUGAAGAGGGAUGCUGCAUCUUCGAGGGAAGGUGUUAUGAGUGCAGAUUAGUUAGACAAGUGCUGGAGUGAAUGCAUAAGCAGUGAUUUUGCAUAAUGAGGUAUGUGAAAUCCCAGUGGAGGUUGUUAAAACAGAUAGACAGCCUGUGGUAAACAACAAGGAAGGUAAGCUUUGAAAACAGAUGGCUUUGAAAACCUGGCAAAUGACUGUUCCAUACUUAAAAAUCGGUUUUGUUGGAGGAAAAUAUCUUCUUAAAAA